UACGGAGGGUGCAAGCGUUGUCCGGAUUUAUUGGGUUUAAAGGGUGCGUAGGCGGCCCGUUAAGUCAGCGGUGAAAUCCCGGGGCUCAACCCCGGAACUGCCGUUGAUACUGGCGGGCUUGAGUUCGGUCGAGGCGGGCGGAACUGGUGGUGUAGCGGUGAAAUGCUUAGAUACCACCAAGAACCCCGAUUGCGUAGGCAGCUCGCUUGGCCGAAACUGACGCUGAGGCACGAAAGCAUGGGGAGCGAACAGG
rnacentral:rRNA from 1 species